rnacentral:rRNA from 1 species
AACGAACGCUGGCGGCAGGCCUAACACAUGCAAGUCGAGCGGACAUCGUCGGCUUGUAGCUGCGUACAGGGGAGUAAGGCGUGGUAACGUGCCCGUUUCUGCGUGAUAGCGUCGGGAAACUUGGGGUAAUACCGGCUGUACCCUUUUGGGUAAAGAGUUAUCGGCAAAGGAUCGUUCGGCGUUGGAUUAAGUAGUUGGUGGGGUAAUGGACUACCAAGCCGACGAUACAUAGCUGGUUUGAGAGGAUGAUCAGACACACUGAGGCGGGGACACGGCGCAGACUACUACGCAAGGCAGCAGUGGCGAAUCUUAGACAAUCGGGUAAGCGCUGAUCGAGCCCGGACUCGUAAGCGAUGAAGGCCUUAGGGUUGUAAAGCACUUUCACCGCGGACGAUAAUGACGUUACCCGGAGAAGAAGCCCCGGCUAACUCCGUG